CCUACGGGAGGCAGCAGUGAGGAAUAUUGGUCAAUGGACGCAAGUCUGAACCAGCCAUGCCGCGUGCAGGAAGACUGUUCUAUGAGUUGUAAACUGCUUUUGUACGAGGAUAAACGCAGAUACGCGUAUCUGUCUGAAAGUAUCGUACGAAUAAGGAUCGGCUAACUCCGUGCCAGCAGCCGCGGUAAUACGGAGGAUUCAAGCGUUAUCCGGAUUUAUUGGGUUUAAAGGGUGCGUAGGCGGUCGGAUAAGUUAGAGGUGAAAUCCCGAGGCUCAACUUUGGAAUUGCAUAUGAUACUGGUCGGCUUGAGUGUAGUUGCGGUAGGCGGAAUUCAUGGUGUAGCGGUGAAAUGCUUAGAGAUCAUACAGAACACCGAUUGCGAAGGCAGCUUACCAAGCUACUUCUGACGUUGAGGCACGAAAGCGUGGGGAGCAAACAGGAUUAGAUACCCGUGUAGUC
rnacentral:rRNA from 1 species